UACAGAGGGGGCAAGCGUUAUUCGGAAUUAUUGGGCGUAAAGGGCGCGAUAGGCGGCUUUUCAAGUGACGGGUGAAAUCCCUCGGCUUAACCGAGGAACUGCCUGUCAGACUGGAAAGGCUUGAGACCGGGAGAGGUGAGUGGAAUUCCCAGUGUAGCGGUGAAAAUGCGUAGAUAUUGGGAGGAACACCAGUGGCGAAGGCGGCUCACUGGACCGGAACUGACGCUGAGGCGCGAAAGCGUGGGAGCA
rnacentral:rRNA from 1 species